rnacentral:rRNA from 1 species
GACGAACGCUGGCGGCGUGCUUAACACAUGCAAGUCGAACGGAAAGGCCCUGCUUUUGUGGGGUGCUCGAGUGGCGAACGGGUGGGUAACACGUGAGUAACCUGCCCUUGACUUUGGGAUAACUUCAGGAAACUGGGGCUAAUACCGGAUAGGAGCUCCUGCUGCAUGGUGGGGGUUCGAAAGUUUCGGCGGUUGGGGAUGGACUCGCGGCUUAUCAGCUUGUUGGUGGGGUAGUGGCUUACCAAGGCUUUGACGGGUAGCCGGCCUGAGAGGGUGACCGGCCACAUUGGGACUGAGAUACGGCCCAGACUCCUACGGGAGGCAGCAGUGGGGAAUAUUGCACAAUGGGCGGAAGCCUGAUGCAGCAACGCCGCGUGCGGGAUGACGGCCUUCGGGUUGUAAACCGCUUUCGCCUGUGACGAAGCGUGAGUGACGGUAAUGGGUAAAGAAGCACCGGCUAACUACGU